rnacentral:rRNA from 1 species
UACGUAGGGUCCGAGCGUUGUCCGGAAUUACUGGGCGUAAAGAGCUCGUAGGUGGUUUGUCGCGUUGUUCGUGAAAACUCACAGCUCAACUGUGGGCGUGCGGGCGAUACGGGCAGACUGGAGUACUGCAGGGGAGACUGGAAUUCCUGGUGUAGCGGUGGAAUGCGCAGAUAUCAGGAGGAACACCGGUGGCGAAGGCGGGUCUCUGGGCCGUAACUGACGCUGAGGAGCGAAAGCAUGGGGAGCGAACAGG